rnacentral:rRNA from 1 species
UACGGGGGGGGGCAAGCGUUGUUCGGAAUUACUGGGCGUAAAGGGCGCGUAGGCGGCCUGCUAAGUCGGACGUGAAAUCCCUCGGCUCAACCGGGGAACUGCGUCCGAUACUGGCGAGGCUUGAAUCCGGGAGAGGGAUGUGGAAUUCCAGGUGUAGCGGUGAAAUGCGCAGAUAUCAGGAGGAACACCGGUGGCGAAGGCGGGUCUCUGGGCCGAUACUGACGCUGAGGAGCGAAAGCGUGGGGAGCGAACAGG